GCAUUUAAAUGUCAUAGAAAAUCAGAGGCUGGAAGGGACAUUGUGUAUCUAGUAAAUGCAAUUGCAUUCCACCCCGUGUAAGUUACCUUUUUCUAUUAAAGUAUUGCGUACUAAACUUGUGAACUUUUGCUUUCUUCUGGCCUUUCUAUGCUAAUUUGGUUACACUUUGCUUCUUCUGUCUUUGGGGGUUCUGCAGCUCUUUUCAAGUUUGAGCUGUAUUUCAGUCUUGUUGCUGUGUUCGUCCGUAUACUGGUUAUCAUGUUGAAGAACUCGGCCGAGAAGAAUGAGAAUAAGAAGAAAAGAAAGGAAUGAUGCUCCUCCUGUAACCUUGGUGAUGCAAAGCAAUGCAAAAUGAGAUCAUCACUUGUCUAUAUAGAGUUUUCCAUGUGACCUCAAAAACAAAAUGUG